CAUGGUAACUUAAAAACCAAAACCCCUAAAAGAAAACAUUACAAUAAAACGAUGGAGGUGGCAAGAAAAUAUUCUAUAACAGUGGCAUUUUUGUUGGCUUUUUUUAUCAUUGCAUCAGAUAUGGCUACAGAAUCACAAGCAAGAGGAGUGAAUGAGAAUACAAAUCAAGCAUGUUCCAUUGAUACCGAUUGUUUAAUGAAACAUUUUCCUUGCCCAACCAACAUGGUCCCAUUCUGUGUUGAUGGUUCGUGUCAAUGUUUUCAUGAAUAGUUAUGUUUAGACGAGAAUAAUAAAUAAAACAAUUUCAACAUAUAAAAUGAUAUGGUUUUAUAUUAAAAUAAUUACAAUAUCUAUUAUAUGGAAAAACCAAUGUUUAUAUUGGUAUUAGAUUGUAUUUCUUUUAGAAUAAAAUAUAAAGAAGUUUUGUUUU